rnacentral:rRNA from 1 species
CCUACGGGAGGCAGCAGUGAGGAAUAUUGGUCAAUGGGCGCGAGCCUGAACCAGCCAAGUAGCGUGAAGGAUGACUGCCCUACGGGUUGUAAACUUCUUUUAUCAAGGAGUAAAGUGAGGCACGUGUGCCUUUUUGUAUGUAAUUUCUGAAUAAGGAUCGGCUAACUCCGGUUCAGCAGCCGCGGUAAUACGGAGGGUCCGAGCGUUAUCCGGAUUUUUUGGGUUUAAAGGGAGCGUAGAUGGGUUGUUAAGUCAGUUGUGAAAGUUUGCGGCGCAACCGUAAAAUUGCAAUUGAUACUGGCGGCCUUGAGUACAGUUGAGGUAGGCGGAAUUCGUGGUGUAGCGGUGAAAUGCUUAGAUAUCACGAAGAACUCCGAUUGCGAAGGCAGCCUACUAAACUGCCACUGACAUUGAUGCUCGAAAGUGUGGGUAUCAAACAGGAUUAGAUACCCGAGUAGUC